rnacentral:rRNA from 1 species
AGAGUUGAUCAUCGGCGUCAGGAGAACGCUGGCGGCGUGCCUAAUACAUGCAAGUCGAGCGAAUGACGAGGAGCUUGCUCCUCUGAUUAGCGGCGGACGGGUGAGUAACACGUGGGCAACCUGCCCUGUAGACUGGGAUAACUUCGGGAAACCGGAGCUAAUACCGGAUAAUCCAUUUCACCUCAUGGUGAAAUGUUAAAAGGCGCUUCGGCGUCACUACAGGAUGGGCCCGCGGUGCAUUAGCUAGUUGGUGGGGUAACGGCCUACCAAGGCAACGAUGCAUAGCCGACCUGAGAGGGUGAUCGGCCACAUUGGGACUGAGACACGGCCCAAACUCCUACGGGAGGCAGCAGUAGGGAAUCUUCCACAAUGGACGAAAGUCUGAUGGAGCAACGCCCGCGUGAGUGAUGAAGGUUUUCGGAUCGUAAAACUCUGUUGUAAGGGAAGAACAAGUACGUUAGGAAAUGAACGUACCUUGACGGUACCUUAUUAGAAAGCCACGGCUAACUACGUGCCAGCCGCCGC